UUUUUCUUUUUCUUUUUUUUGGCUUUUUUCCUAAGUAUUAGACUAUAUUAUUUCUGUAAUUAAAAAAAAAAAAGUUUAAGUACACACGACCAGAUCAAUCUCUCCCGGGGGCCACUACUGGGAGAGGCUCCCAUUGUAAAGCUAUUGUUGCUACAGGUUAGGAAUUGAGACUGAAGCCCUAGGGCCACUGCCAAAAGGACCCUGAUGGCCACUAGGCAGGUGGAGCACUAGAGGUUGUCCAGGAAUGUCGGGGGUGGGGGAUUAUCAGACAGCACAGAAUACAGCAUCUCCACAUCACCCCCAGAGAGGGCAUCUCCAGAGAGGACUAGCUUACCAUUCAGGCAGCAGUACUACUUCCCCAGCCCUGAGCUCUGGCCUUCCUGGUUACAGGCAGAAUCACAAGAACCAAACAAUCCAGAUAACAAUCUACCAACCACUCAACCUCGGAGUAAAAUCAGUUGCUCUGAGCCCAAAGGUGUGCACAUGCCAAAGGACUGCUGGCUGCCUAACAAGAAAACUGGCUGGGGGGCUGGGUCAGCACCUUGUGGGGUCCCUUCUGCCAUCACCCCGACCAUCUUCAACAGCUGCCCAGUGCCCAUGGUGAGCUCCCUGGCAGCUGCUGUGGAAAAAUGGACACCUUGCUGGGUGUCUGCUUUCCUGGCACCACAGAGACAGGAGCAUGACCUGGUGAGGUCCCAACCAGGUGAUUGUUGUUGAUGGACUUUUUCACAGCCCAGACUGGAAAGAAACAACUGUGCAUCUAACUAUGAGCCCUGGACCCCAGGGUUCACUGCAGCACUAUUCACAACAGCCAAGACACGGAAGCAACCUAAAUGUCCAUCUACAGAAGGACGGAUAAAGAAGAUGUGGCACGUAUAUAAAAAGGACUAUUAGCCAUCAAAAGAAUGAGAUAAUGCCAUGUGCAGCAACACAGAUGGACCUAGAGAUUAUCACACGAAGCGAGGUCAAAAAGAGCAAGGCAAACACCAUGUGAUAUCACUUAUAUGCGGAACCUAAAAUACGACCCAAAUGAACAUACCUACGAAACAGAAACAUAGGCACAGAAAACAGACUUGUGAUUGCCAGGGGUGGGGGUGGGUAGGGAUGGAUGGAGAGUUUGGGAUUAGCAGAUACAAACUAUUAAGUAUUGGAUGGAUUAAGAAACCAGGUCCUACUGCACAGCACAGGGAACCAGAUUCAAUAUCCUGCGACAAAUCAUAAUGGAAAAGAAUGUAUAUACACACAUAAAACUGAAUCACUUUGCUGUACACCAGAAAUUAACACAACAUUGCAAAUCAACGAUACUUCAAUAAAAUAAGAUGCACAUGACUAGGGGCAUCAAAACCAAUCAUUUUCUGUUGCACGUAGGCAAGAGCGGCUCUCUUAGGACAGUUGGGAGAAGUCAAGAUGUUGGUCCAUGGGAGAAUUGAGCAUAAUCAAGGUUGGCUGCUACUACUAGUAGUACUACUACAAUUGCUAGUACCAUUACCACCACUACUACUUUAGUACUGCAAGUAUCAACUACCGGUGUUAUUACUGCACUGCUACCACUCCUGUUGGUGUAGUACCACACCACCACUAAUACUAUCAUGAUUGCUGCUGCUACUGUGACUGCUACUAUUACUGCUAUCACUACUGCACUGGCUGUUACUACCACCACUGUUGUUACUGCUGUGACUGCUACUACUGUGACUCCAAAAAGCCCACAUGCACUGACUGCUACCACACAUUCCCGAACUGGGGGCAAUAAUCCUGAUUCGAAUUACUCUGCCUCACCUCCAAAAGCUCUCUCCCAACUGGCAGACGAUGCACACUAGGUGCAGAAAACACCUGCACCCAUGGUUCAAGUCCUUGUGGAGUGAAGCAAUAAUGCCAAGAGCUGGGAGAAGGCCUUGCUGGGCCCUGGCAGGGACUCUAGGUCCAUUGCUACCUCAGCGCCACCCCAACACUGUCACACAAGAACGACUCUCUUUUUCAGGAAGAGGAAACCCAGGCUUCACUGAUAAUACGACAAGCUCACGUUUACACUGCAGGUGAACGACAGGCCUGAAUUCAAACAAAGCACUACCAGUGCUCCUGGCAUCCCUAAGCUACUAGGAUUUUAUAUAAUGAGAAAAGAGCUUCAGGGCUGGCCCGGGCCAGCAUCCUGGUGGCAUGUGAUAGGCUGGCUCCUCCCAGUUCUCCUGACUCCAGGCAUUGCUGCCUUUCGGUGACCACGCAUGACAGUUCACACAGCCAGUGGCCGGUCAGUGGUGGGCACUGGGCUCCCAGAAGGAUGCCAGUCCAGGAACACCCAAUGGGCCCUCAGUGCUCUGGGGAGGUGCUGCGAUGCUGGUGGCCAGGAAGGCAAACAGGAAGGUGGGUUCCCGGGCCUGCAAGGGCCUCUCGCUAGCUGGGCCUGGUGUCCCCAAGGCCCCCAGUGUGUGUUAUUUUUGGACAGGGCCACGUGAUGAGUAAGUGCCUGUUGGAUUAGAUAGAGUCAAGGCCAGCCUCCCGACUGGCGUCGUCCAAGCGGCUGGGGUCAGUGGCUCCGGGUUGGGGCCUAUGGCAAGGCUCCAGAUCACACCUCCCCCACUGCCCCCAGAGCCUCCGUGGCCCACGGACAACAAAGGGAAGCAGUCCGAGAAAGAGGGAACUGCUUUCCCACUCUGCAGGCCAAGCGCUCCAGGCUGUGCGCACGGGUCCAGUCUCGUGACUGUGGCAAAGCUGCUCGGGCCCCGGGGCAACUCGCAAGCUGGGACUUUCUGGGGCCUGUGCUCUGAGGGGUCAACCGGGUUUCCUGGGCUGGAAGGGCUUAGCUUCCUUCCCUUUUGGGACUCACACCUCAGCCCCGUGGCAGUCGAUGACACUGCCCUUGGCCUUGGUUAAUCUGGAGUCGCCAUGGCAAGCAGAUCAUGAGAGGCUUCGUGAGGAGUUCAAGGUGCUUGUUUCUAAGUGAUUUAGACCCUGAAUGGUCUUUACAUCAUACGUUGGCAGAAGCUUGCCUAUAAAAGAAAAGACACCAUCCCUUUCUAUGACAUUUCAGCCUUUGGGGCCUGCAUGUGUUUUAUGUCUGAUCUUACAUCUCUCUGUCUUCCUCUCUCUUGCAACCAUGGAGGCAAUAAAAAUCAAAUGUUAGGAUUUUUUACAAAAACUUAUUAUAGUUUAUUCACAUUGGUCUUUCCAUUUCUGCAAAGUGACCCAAUCAUACAUAUACAUACACUCUUUUUCUCAUACUGUCUUUUGUCAUGUUCUAUCACAAGUGAUUGGCUAUAGUUCCCUGUGCUGUAUAUUCAGACCUCAAUGCUUAUCCAUUCUAAAUGUAGUUGUUUGCAUCUACUAACCCCAAAUUCCCAGGCCAUCCCACUCCCUCCCCCGCCCCCUUGGCAAUAAGUCUGCUCUCCACGUCUGUGAGUCUGUCUCUGUUCUGUAGGUAGGUUCACCUGUGCCAUAUUUUAGAUUUCACAUAUCAGUGAUAUCAUGUGGUAUCUGUCUUGCUGUGACUUACUUUACUGAGUAUGUCUAGUUCCAACCAAGUUGCUGCAAAUGGCAUUAUUUUGUUCUUUUUUAUGGCUGAGUAGUAUUCCAUUGUGUAUAUGUACCACAUCUUAAGAUUGUUUUUAAGCAGAACCAUGUCACUUUGAAUUGUGCAUUCCACUGGACAAAGUUAUUCAGCUGAUAAUGUGUUACAACCCUUAACAACGUAAUGAAAGAAUAUUCUUCCCAAGCUUUUAAAAGAGGGCAAGAGACAAACACAGUCUGGCCCAAACUACUGUUUCCCACAAGCAACACUGCCCUAGCAGAGUCACUUUCUGAUUCUUGUUUUCCUCUUGUGUAUAAAAUGGGAAUGGUACCUAUGCUGAGGCUUUGAUGCUAAGAUGACAAGGGGUGGAGAACAAAGUGUUUACAUUGGACCCCAAGGAGAAGGAUGCUCACCCAAAGAGUGGGUAUUGUCAAGGAGGCAACACCACUUCCCCAGGACUCCCUUCUCUCUCUGCUCUCUGCUCCACUGUGGGCAGGAGAGGAAGGCAUGGCACUGAGCAGGGCUUCUCUGUCUCCAUGUCCCAUCUUCUGGGCUGUUAGGACAUGGCAACCCUCAGGUUUGGCCAAGUUUCAAUGCUAAGCAUAGAGCUGAGCAAUUUCCAGGCCCUCUCUUCUUCCACCAACACAUGAAGCCACACCAAGACCCUCCAUUGUGGAAUCUUGGACUAAAAGGUGGGGAGAAGUUUGUAAAGAUAAGUUUUUAAAGGCACAUGGCAAAUGGUAAGAUGUGGCCAACCAGAGAAAAAGAUAAGAUUGGAUAUAAAAUUAAAAAGCAUGUACAAAAAUAAGAGGAAUAAUUCUUUUGUGCUAUCAAUAUAAUAUGAACAGUACUGAAAAUGGCUUUUUAAAUUUAAGUUUAAGCCAGAAGACCUAAAUAUUUCUCCAAGGAAGAUACACUGAUGGUCAACAUAUAAAGAUGCUCAAAAUUGCUAAUUAUGAGAGAAAUGCAAAUCAAAACUACAAUGAGAUGCCACCUCACACCAUCAGAAUGGCUAUCAUCAAAUAAGAAAUAAAUGCUAAAGAGGUAUGGAGAAAAGGGAACCCUCUUAGACUGUUGACAGGAAUGUAAAGUGAUACACACACUAUGGAGAGCAGUAUGGAGGUUCCUUAAAAAACUAAAAAUCUAGCAAUCUCACCCCUUGACAUGCAUCUGGAAGAAACUCUAAUUCGAAAAGAUACAUGAACCCUAAUGUUAAUAGCAGCACUAGUGACAAAAGCCAAGACAUGGAAGCAAUCUAAAUGUCCAUCAACAGAUAAAUGGAUAAAGAAGUUGUGAUACAUAUAUACAGUGGAAUAUUACUCAGCCAUAAAAAGGAAUGAAAUAAUGUCAUAUGCAGCAACAUGGAUGGACCUAGAUAUUAUCAUACUAAGUGAAGUAAGUUAAACAGAGAAAGACAAAUGUCAUGUGAUAUCACCUAUAUGUAGAAUCUAAAAAAAAAAGAUACAAAUAAACUUAAUUAAAAAACAGAAAUAUAUUCACAGACAUUGAGGGCAAACUUAUGGUUACUAAAGGGGAAGGAGAAAGGGAUAAAGUAGGAAUUUGGAAUUAACAGAUACACACUACAGAGGAGUUCCCACCAUGGCUCAGCAGAAGAGAAUCUGACUAGUAUCCAUGAAUAUGCAGGUUCGAUCCCUGGCCUCGCUCAAUGGGUUAAAAAUCCAGUGUUGGCAUGAGCUGUGGUGUAAGUCGCAGACGUGGCUCAGAUCCUGCGUUGCUGUGGCUGUGGUAGGCCAGCAGCUAUAGCU
rnacentral:lncRNA from 1 species